rnacentral:rRNA from 1 species
AGAGAACUCUGCACCAGCUAUCCCGCGUGCGGGAUGAAGGCCUUCGGGUUGUAAACCGCUUUCAGCAGGAAAUAAGCGAAAUGAAGGUACCUGCAGAAGAAGCACCGGCUAACUAUGUGCCAGCAGCCGCGGUAAUACAUAGGGUGCAAGCGUUGUCCGGAAUUAUUGGGCGUAAAGAGCUCGUAGGUGGUUUGUUACGUCGGAUGUGAAAUGCAGGGGCUCAACCCCUGACUUGCAUCCGAUACGGGCAAGCUAGAGUUUGGUAGGGGAGACUGGAAUUCCUGGUGUAGCGGUGGAAUGCGCAGAUAUCAGGAGGAACACCGAUGGCGAAGGCAGGUCUCUGGGCCAAUACUGACACUGAGGAGCGAAAGCGUGGGGAGCGAACAGGAUUAGAUACCCUGGUAGUCCACGCCGUAAACGGUGGGCGCUAGUUGUGCGAACCUUCCACGGUUUGUGCGACGCAGCUAACGCAUUAAGCGCCCCGCCUGGGGAGUACGAUCGCAAGAUUAAAACUCAAAGGAAUUGACGGGGCCCCGCACAAGCAGCGGAGCAUGCGGCUUAAUUCGACGCAACGCGAAGAACCUUACCAAGGCUUGACCUAUACAGGAAUACGUCCAGAGAUGUCGUAGCCCGC